rnacentral:rRNA from 1 species
AGCGAACGCUGGCGGUAGGCCUAACACAUGCAAGUCGAACGGCAGCACAGUAAGAGCUUGCUCUUACGGGUGGCGAGUGGCGGACGGGUGAGGAAUACAUCGGAACCUACUUUUUCGGGGGGGAUAACGUAGGGAAACUUACGCUCAUACCGCAUACGCCCUACGGGUGUAAGCAGGGGAUAUUCGGACCUUGCGCGAUUGAAUGAGCCGAUGUCGGAUUUGCUAGUUGGCGGGGUAAAGGCCCACCAAGGCGCCGAUCCGUAGCUGGUCUGAGUGGAUGGUCAGCGACACUGGAACUGAGACACGGUCCAGACUCCUACGGGAGGCAGCAGUGGGGAAUAUUGGACAAUGGGCGCAAGCCUGAUCCAGCCAUACCGCGUGGGUGGAGGAGGCCUUCGGGUUGUAAAGCCCUUUUGUUGGGAAAGAAAAGCAGCAGGUUAAUACCCCGCUGUUCUGACGGUACCCAAAGAAUAAGCACCGGCUAACUUCGUG